GGUACAAAUGCACUUAGAGAAUAUGUUCUAUAUUUAGGGUGAUAUACAUGUAAUUAUAAUCAUCAAAAUAGAUGUAUUUUAUUUCAUACAUGUAUAUGUCGUCUCAUUCCUUUUGAACCCCUCUUACAAUAGCUCCUUUUUAGAGAAAAAAAAUCUUUGCUGAUUUUAAUAUCCUUUAAGAAAAAAAUCAGUGCCGAGUUUUCCUUACAUGUAGUUUAUUUUUGUAAUAGAAUAUCAUUGGUUAAUAUUUGUCAAUUUAUAUUUAUUUUGGGAUAUGCAAGAGGCACAGUAGAAAUAAUAUUUUCUGGAUAUACAGUAUUAUAUAUGUAUAUAAGUAUGCAUCAUAUUUUAAAGAACCUCAGCUAUUAAAGUUUCCAAAUGAUCAUUAUGAAAUUUUAUUUUCAUCAUGUUCAUAAUUUAUCUACAGUGUGAUAUUCAAAUGUUUUUUGUUGAAUAUUAUAUAAUUUUAAGAUAUUUAUUUUAAUAGACAACUGUGACACAAAAGAGGGGAAAAAAACCCCAAUAUCUAACAUCUUUAUGUAGCCCUGUCAAGCAGAUGAACCUAAUAUGUUUAAAAUUUUUAUUGUUUUAUUUACUUUGAGUCUAUCCACUUUUGUUGAGUAUAAGUUAUACAUGUUGAAUUCCUGAAUGUUUAUACACCAUACCGUAAAAAAACAGAUAAACCUAUGGACAAAAAUGUUUUUAAAUAAUAAAAGUUCUUUUUCUGUC
rnacentral:misc_RNA from 1 species